AAGAGAAGCUUAUAAAAAGAACAGAAGCUAAGAGAAGUUAGAGAAGCUAAGAGAAGCUAGGGAAGCUAAAGAAACUGUAGUAGAAAAGCUACUUAGCAAUUGAUUGCAGAAGCCCGAAGUCACCUGUCAGCUUGCAC